AAGGUCAACGCUCCAGCCUUUUGAAAACUCGCUCUGCGCUCCAGUCAAAUUGUGCACGCUGCGCUGCUCGCUCCAGCUCCGCUCCGCUCACAUACUCUGGUCGGAAGGCAACCCUUGAUCCCAACCGGAACAUGAUGUCAGGUGCCGAGCGUUUUAAGCUCCAGAGGCCCUAUGCAAAAUCUGAUGGUCACUUUCAGUAGCCUUAAACUACUGAAUUUGUUUGGACUUUGUAGAAACACAAGUCAUGGAAACGUUGAGAGAGAUAUCACUGCACAUGGAUACUGCACUGGAUUUUAGCGCACAGCAGGAGUUAAGUUCAUUCCGGGUCGAUACUGAACAAUAUAUCUAGUCUCUGGGGCCUCGCAGAUCAUCUGAAAAUUAUGAGCAUUUUUUCCCAAACACACAUCCAUACGGUGUGCCACAAAUGCGUAAAGCUAAAGGUGGAGAAAUGGACAAAGUUGCAUCCACAAGAAAGAUUUUGCAGACCUGAUAAGAAUGGAUCUCUCCUGAUAUUCUAUAGCAUACUCAUUAUUAGGCAUGUAAUUUUUUUUCACCCUCAUUUUCUAUACUAAAGAGCUGUUACACUUUUAAAGCUAAACAUACAUGUUUAAGGCUGAUGACACAAUGAACACUAAGUCAAUACCAAAGUGUGUAUCUCAUUUGUUUUGCUACAUAAGCCCUUCCAUUACUCAUAAAACACCACUGCUACAUUACUAGCUACUCUCUGGUCAGAAAACUGUAUCUGUUUAACAAAAACACAAGGACACGAGACCAAUAUUUUACAUGAGACCAAUAUUUGUUGUACUAUACACCACUUGUUCACAAAGUGUGCUUGUGGCAAUAAAAAGAUAAGCAAUGGA